UCUGUCCUGUCCUGGUGUUACAUCUGUGGUGCUCUGUCACAUAUGCGUCAGUAGGUGACAGAGAGGAGAGAUGCUUUGUUUACACUUGGUGUUCUGACCUGUGAACAUCUGAAUAAUUAGUAGUCUAAUAUU